AUGAACUGAGACCUCCAGGGCAGCUGGGGAACAGCCUGCCACAACCUGUAAACCCAGAGGCUUCACGUUCAAAAAUGAUCUUUGUCACUAGCCUGGCCUGAACUCCUGCACGUUACAUAACACAGUUCCCUCACACUGAUUUUUUUAUUGAGCUUCCACGCUGGGCCAGACAUUGUUUUGGGCAUGUGAACUCAAGACCCCGUUCCUGCCAUCAAGUUUACAACGCAGUGGAAGAAGCCAUAAUUCAGUGAUAUGAGUGUCUUGCCCAGGAAGAUGAAAGGAUGCUGUGGGAACCCAGCAGAGGAAUGCCUAGCUAGAACAUCUGCAGGGAGGAUCAGUAUGAUUCAGCUGACCUGGAGCUUCAGUGAAAUGCUGUCUGCCUGAACCCUGGUGUCCUGCCUCAUGGCCUGAGGCCUAGCUGCCAAGUCACCAUGGCCACUUGGAUUCCUAGCCUUCUGGUUUUCCCUUGUCAGAAUCUGGUCAUGUAAUAAAGUGCAGCCUCUGCUCUCCUGGCAGCUUACAGUAUCUGCUCCAUUUCACUUGCAUUUACUCCACGCACUUUUGACAGGUCAUCCUCUGCAUGAAACCACAGUUGAAAGUGGCAUCUGCUGAGGCUCUGAAGGGCUCUCUCUGGGAAUGAAAGAGAAGCCAACAACAAACAAAACACACCCUUGAAGUAGAGCAUUUAGGGGCAGUGUCCCUGGUUGGGAUGUCCUCUCUCUGCCAUGUCACUAUCUUUGUUCUGCUUAUUUUGGCUUCUUCCCAAGUAGAUGCUAACUGAUCAGUGAAAAGCAACAGGAGGAGGGACAUACUAGAGAGCUUAAGGAGUAUGCAGUCUGGCUUAUGGCCUCUGAAUAUAUGGGAAGUGGCUUCAUAGCUACAUUUCAAAACAGGUAUCAUCUUGGUUGAUCCAGAUUCUCCUUUGAAGUGUUGUAGAAAGACUAUGGGCUUUCAGCUUCACCUACUAGUAGUUGGAAAGUUAUAUCCCUGCUUAUAAGAGGAGUAUGUAGUCCUUACUUGAGAAUCAGAAUGUCAGCCCUGCAUUUCAGAACACUCUUCAACAGAGGAAAGUCAUUCCCAUUUCUACACUCCAGUCGCCCAUCAUUAUAAGGGUUCUAAACAUCACUCCACCUUGUCAUCCCAGCAGUUAAGGUAACAACUAAACAAGAGCGUAUCUUAGAAAAAUACAGAAUAUUCUAGGCAAGUCUAAAUGUGUACUGUUGAGAUAAGGGAUUCUACCAUUGCUAGAGAAGUUAUAAAAAAAAAUAAAAAGCUUUCCCCAUGAUCAUAGAUUUGUUUUCCUAAGCUAAAAUUGUUAUUUGAAAUACAAGUAUCCAAAAUAUAAAUGCCGAUUCCUUUGUGGCCAGGUUGUGACGAAGGUAGUUAAGUCUGGCAUUAGUACUCUCCUUGGGGUUGUUGAUUUUGUCACUAGGAAUGGCUGAGUUGCCAAGCUCACCCAGGAUUAGAAGUGUUUCCAAACCGCCUCAGUGUGCACACAGGUCAGAAUCUAUACCCGUGGGACAGCUGGCUCUUAACUGCAACACUUAAUCGGGUUCCUCUGGGGCACUGCCAUGUCACAGGUUCAUGAACAUCAUUAUCAAGCCUGA